rnacentral:rRNA from 1 species
UACAGAGGGUGCAAGCGUUGUCCGGAAUCACUGGGCGUAAAGGGCGCGUAGGUGGUGGCUUAAGCGUGCGGUGAAAGCUCGGAGCUCAACCCCGAGUCGGCCGUGCGAACUGGGCCUCACUGGAGCAUAGUAGAGGCAGGUGGAAUUCCUGGUGUAGCGGUGAAAUGCGCAGAUAUCAGGAGGAACACCGGUGGCGAAGGCGGGUCUCUGGGCAGUAACUGACGCUGAGGAGCGAAAGCGUGGGGAGCGAACAGG